AGCAUGUCAGAAGGCAGACCCGGAGAACUGAAACAUCUUAGUACCCGGAGGAAGAGAAAGAAAAAUCGAUUCCCUGAGUAGCGGCGAGCGAAACGGGAAGAGCCCAAACCAACAAGCUUGCUUGUUGGGGUUGUAGGACACUCUAUACGGAGUUACAAAAGAACAUGUUAGACGAAUCAUCUGGAAAGAUGAAUCAAAGAAGGUAAUAAUCCUGUAGUCGAAAACAUAUUCUCUCUUGAGUGGAUCCUGAGUACGACGGAGCACGUGAAAUUCCGUCGGAAUCUGGGAGGACCAUCUCCUAAGGCUAAAUACUCUCUAGUGACCGAUAGUGAACCAGUACCGUGAGGGAAAGGUGAAAAGUACCCCGGAAGGGGAGUGAAAGAGAACUUGAAACCGUGUGCUUACAAGUAGUCAGAGCCCGUUAAUGGGUGAUGGCGUGCCUUUUGUAGAAUGAACCGGCGAGUUACGAUCUGAUGCAAGGUUAAGCAGCAAAUGUGGAGCCGCAGCGAAAGCGAGUCUGAAUAGGGCGUUGAGUAUUUGGUCGUAGACCCGAAACCAGGUGAUCUACCCUUGGUCAGGUUGAAGUUCAGGUAACACUGAAUGGAGGACCGAACCGACUUACGUUGAAAAGUGAGCGGAUGAACUGAGGGUAGCGGAGAAAUUCCAAUCGAACUUGGAGAUAGCUGGUUCUCUCCGAAAUAGCUUUAGGGCUAGCCUCAAGUGAUGAUUAUUGGAGGUAGAGCACUGUUUGGACGAGGGGCCCCUCUCGGGUUACCGAAUUCAGACAAACUCCGAAUGCCAAUUAAUUUAACUUGGGAGUCAGAACAUGGGUGAUAAGGUCCGUGUUCGAAAGGGAAACAGCCCAGACCACCAGCUAAGGUCCCAAAAUAUAUGUUAAGUGGAAAAGGAUGUGGCGUUGCCCAGACAACUAGGAUGUUGGCUUAGAAGCAGCCAUCAUUUAAAGAGUGCGUAAUAGCUCACUAGUCGAGUGACACUGCGCCGAAAAUGUACCGGGGCUAAACAUAUUACCGAAGCUGUGGAUUGUCCUUUGGACAAUGGUAGGAGAGCGUUCUAAGGGCGUCGAAGCAUGAUCGCAAGGACAUGUGGAGCGCUUAGAAGUGAGAAUGCCGGUGUGAGUAGCGAAAGACGGGUGAGAAUCCCGUCCACCGAUUGACUAAGGUUUCCAGAGGAAGGCUCGUCCGCUCUGGGUUAGUCGGGUCCUAAGCUGAGGCCGACAGGCGUAGGCGAUGGAUAACAGGUUGAUAUUCCUGUACCACCUAGUAUCGUUUUAAUCGAUGGGGGGACGCAGUAGGAUAGGCGAAGCGUGCUGUUGGAGUGCACGUCCAAGCAGUAAGGCUGAGUGUUAGGCAAAUCCGGCACUCAUAAGGCUGAGCUGUGAUGGGGAGAGGAAAUUGUUUCCUCGAGUCGUUGAUUUCACACUGCCGAGAAAAGCCUCUAGAUAGAUAACAGGUGCCCGUACCGCAAACCGACACAGGUAGUCAAGAUGAGAAUUCUAAGGUGAGCGAGCGAACUCUCGUUAAGGAACUCGGCAAAAUGACCCCGUAACUUCGGGAGAAGGGGUGCUCUUUAGGGUUCACGCCCAGAAGAGCCGCAGUGAAUAGGCCCAAGCGACUGUUUAUCAAAAACACAGGUCUCUGCUAAACCGUAAGGUGAUGUAUAGGGGCUGACGCCUGCCCGGUGCUGGAAGGUUAAGAGGAGUGGUUAGCUUCUGCGAAGCUACGAAUCGAAGCCCCAGUAAACGGCGGCCGUAACUAUAACGGUCCUAAGGUAGCGAAAUUCCUUGUCGGGUAAGUUCCGACCCGCACGAAAGGCGUAACGAUUUGGGCACUGUCUCAACGAGAGACUCGGUGAAAUCAUAGUACCUGUGAAGAUGCAGGUUACCCGCGACAGGACGGAAAGACCCCGUGGAGCUUUACUGUAGCCUGAUAUUGAAAUUCGGCACAGCUUGUACAGGAUAGGUAGGAGCCUUUGAAACGUGAGCGCUAGCUUACGUGGAGGCGUUGGUGGGAUACUACCCUAGCUGUGUUGGCUUUCUAACCCGCACCACUUAUCGUGGUGGGAGACAGUGUCAGGCGGGCAGUUUGACUGGGGCGGUCGCCUCCUAAAAGGUAACGGAGGCGCUCAAAGGUUCCCUCAGAAUGGUUGGAAAUCAUUCAUAGAGUGUAAAGGCAUAAGGGAGCUUGACUGCGAGACCUACAAGUCGAGCAGGGUCGAAAGACGGACUUAGUGAUCCGGUGGUUCCGCAUGGAAGGGCCAUCGCUCAACGGAUAAAAGCUACCCCGGGGAUAACAGGCUUAUCUCCCCCAAGAGUUCACAUCGACGGGGAGGUUUGGCACCUCGAUGUCGGCUCAUCGCAUCCUGGGGCUGUAGUCGGUCCCAAGGGUUGGGCUGUUCGCCCAUUAAAGCGGUACGCGAGCUGGGUUCAGAACGUCGUGAGACAGUUCGGUCCCUAUCCGUCGUGGGCGUAGGAAAUUUGAGAGGAGCUGUCCUUAGUACGAGAGGACCGGGAUGGACAUACCUCUGGUGUACCAGUUGUCGUGCCAACGGCAUAGCUGGGUAGCUAUGUAUGGACGGGAUAAGUGCUGAAAGCAUCUAAGCAUGAAGCCCCCCUCAAGAUGAGAUUUCCCAACUUCGGUUAUAAGAUCCCUCGAAGAUGACGAGGUUAAUAGGUUCGAGGUGGAAGCGUGGUGACACGUGGAGCUGACGAAUACUAAUCGAUCGAAGACUUAAUC
rnacentral:rRNA from 1 species